rnacentral:rRNA from 1 species
AAUAGAUACCCGGGUAGUCCACGCCGUAAACGAUGAGUGCUAAGUGUUAGAGGGUUUCCGCCCUUUAGUGCUGCAGCUAACGCAUUAAGCACUCCGCCUGGGGAGUACGGUCGCAAGACUGAAACUCAAAGGAAUUGACGGGGGCCCGCACAAGCGGUGGAGCAUGUGGUUUAAUUCGAAGCAACGCGAAGAACCUUACCAGGUUUUGACAUCCCACUGACCGGUAUGGAGAUAUACCUUUCCCUUCGGGGACAGUGGUGACAGGUGGUGCAUGGUUGUCGUCAGCUCGUGUCGUGAGAUGUUGGGUUAAGUCCCGCAACGAGCGCAACCCUUGAUCUUAGUUGCCAGCAUUUAGUUGGGCACUCUAAGGUGACUGCCGGUGACAAACCGGAGGAAGGUGGGGAUGACGUCAAAUCAUCAUGCCCCUUAUGACCUGGGCUACACACGUGCUACAAUGGAUGGUACAAAGGGCUGCAAGACUGCGAAGUCAAGCCAAUCCCAUAAAACCAUUCUCAGUUCGGAUUGCAGGCUG